rnacentral:lncRNA from 1 species
ACGCCCAUGAUGAAUGAGAGGCUUUGGCCGAAGAAUCUCUGAUGCCAAGGUUAGAAUUUGAGAGAGAAAGUGUUUAGAGAAUUUUAGAAGAGAAUUGGACUUAGAUUUUUGGAGAAAUGUGGGGCUAUAUAUAGGGCUGUGGCCGGCCCUAUUAGGAGAAUUACGACCGACCACAUAUGGUUGAUUUGUGGGAUUGAUUGCAAGAUAUUAUGUGAAAUAAUAUCUUGCAAUUAAUUUGGUAAUUAAUCCCAAUUUGAAAAGAAUAAUUAGGAGUUACCUUGUGGGUGAGGAUUUAAUGAGGAGUGAUGAGAGGGUUUUAAAAGAAUACCAUUUUGAUCACCUUUGACCUCAAUUGAGCCGUUAUUGUCCGUUACAUGCGCGUGGGAAUCCCAAUGUGCCUUAAUGGUAAUUUUGUCUUUUUAACCCAAAAGUCCAUGUGAAGCCUCCAUAUUUUUCUUGAUUAUUUUUUGCUCCACACGUAUGAUAGGGUCCCAAGAGACAUUAUUUGAAGGAUUUUAGAGAGUAAAGGAGUAUGAGUAGCAUAUAUCCAAACUAUAAAGGAUAUGUAUGAUGGAGCAAAAACUGCCAUAAGAACUCAUGAAGGACAAACCAAAAGCUUCCCCAUAAUUGUAAGGUUACAUCAAGGUUCAUCUUUAAGUCCUUACCUUUUUGCAUUGGUAAUGGAUGAGUUAACGGGACAUAUUCAAGAUAAUAUUCCUUAAUGUAUGCUUUUAGUAGACAAUAUAGUGUUGAUAAAUGAAACUUAGGAAGGGGUAAUUACGAAGCUUAACCUUUAGAGAGAAGUGUUGGAAUCUAAAAGUCUUCUCCUAAGUCGGUCAAAGACAAAAUAUAUGGAGUGCAAGUUCAGUGCAAAUGGAGGCUCAAAUGAGUUAGGGGUGAGGAUCAGAGACCAGGAAGUACCAAAGAGCGA